CCCAUCCACUGUGACUCAUAUGGCUAAUUAUCUACUGAAAAGUGUCCACAGGGAAGAGACUUUUGGCAGUGGAAUUAUAUACAUCAGUUUUUUGAGGUUAGGCCUUACUCUUGUUUAUGUCUCAACUCAAGCGGAGUUCCUUUAAGAUGAAAUCAAGAUGUAAUUUAGAUGAUGUUUUACUAAAGUGUAGCUUGCUGCGGUGACGAUGGCAGGCCCCGCUUGGAUCUGCCUCCAAGAAGAGCUUGCUGGAAAGCUGGAGGAGCGUGCUAGCCAGUGUAACUGCCAGAGGAGUUCUUCCUGCUCCUUUCACAAAGAAGGACCUUGGCAUUGCAGUAAAGAAGGAGUUUAGGAGACACGAGGCUGAGCACACCACGUGGGAGCCAGAGUGGGAACCAGCCAUUGCACAAGCAGCCUCCACCCUUCAGAGGAAUGAAUUCCUCUCCAUUUCGGCCAACACCACGGAAUACACUGGAAAGAAGAUGAGAGGUUGGUGUUCUGAUGUUACUAGGCCCUCGUUUUCUCUGGCUCACUGGCUUUUAGAGCUGGAAGGGCCCUGUGCAUGAUGUAUUCUCUAAACCCGUCCUAGAGCAAGCAAGAAGGUGGGUUGGUCAUGCUGUCCUCUGGGGCAGGCCGUCCCAGUUUACACUCCCACAACAGAGUAUGGGAAUCUCUGCGUAUGCUGGGUUUGUCCCACAAAGGAAAUAGAUGAGGGAGCACAGACAGUGAAGGCCAACCAAAUAGUCAACCCCGCCUCUCACUUCCAAG
rnacentral:lncRNA from 1 species